GACGAACCGUGCGAACGUUGUUCGGAUUCACUGGGCUUAAAGGGCGCGUAGGCGGGCGAGCGAGUCCGGGGUGAAAUCUUUCGGCUUAACCGGAAAAGGGCCUUGGAUACCGCUCGUCUCGAGGGAGGUAGGGGCAGGCGGAACUUCCGGUGGAGCGGUGAAAUGCGUUGAUAUCGGAAGGAACGCCGGUGGCGAAAGCGGCCUGCUGGACCUCUUCUGACGCUGAGGCGCGAAAGCCAGGGGGAGCGGAACGGG
rnacentral:rRNA from 1 species